rnacentral:rRNA from 1 species
AGAGUUUGAUCCUGGCUCAGGACGAACGCUGGCGGCGUGCCUAAUACAUGCAAGUAGAACGCUGAAGAGAGGAGCUUGCUCUUCUUGGAUGAGUUGCGAACGGGUGAGUAACGCGUAGGUAACCUGCCUUGUAGCGGGGGAUAACUAUUGGAAACGAUAGCUAAUACCGCAUAACAAUGGAUGACACAUGUCAUUUAUUUGAAAGGGGCAAUUGCUCCACUACAAGAUGGACCUGCGUUGUAUUAGCUAGUAGGUGAGGUAACGGCUCACCUAGGCGACGAUACAUAGCCGACCUGAGAGGGUGAUCGGCCACACUGGGACUGAGACACGGCCCAGACUCCUACGGGAGGCAGCAGUAGGGAAUCUUCGGCAAUGGACGAAAGUCUGACCGAGCAACGCCGCGUGAGUGAAGAAGGUUUUCGGAUCGUAAAGCUCUGUUGUAAGUCAAGAACGAGUGUGAGAGUGGAAAGUUCACACUGUGACGGUAGCUUACCAGAAAGGGACGGCUAACUACGUGCCAGCAGCCGCGGUAAUACGUAGGUCCCGAGCGUUGUCCGGAUUUAUUGGGCGUAAAGCGAGCGCAGGCGGUUUGAUAAGUCUGAAGUUAAAGGCUGUGGCUCAACCAUAGUUCGCUUUGGAAACUGUCAAACUUGAGUGCAGAAGGGGAGAGUGGAAUUCCAUGUGUAGCGGUGAAAUGCGUAGAUAUAUGGAGGAACACCGGUGGCGAAAGCGGCUCUCUGGUCUGUAACUGACGCUGAGGCUCGAAAGCGUGGGGAGCGAACAGGAUUAGAUACCCUGGUAGUCCACGCCGUAAACGAUGAGUGCUAGGUGUUGGAUCCUUUCCGGGAUUCAGUGCCGCAGCUAACGCAUUAAGCACUCCGCCUGGGGAGUACGACCGCAAGGUUGAAACUCAAAGGAAUUGACGGGGGCCCGCAC